CAGGGAGACAACACAAUGAUUUUGAUGCCUGAGUGCUUUUAUUCUUAGGCCGAAAUCCUGUCACCUUAGGUCGAUCGGUACCUCAGCUUUGAAGUUAAGGAUCAGCAGCAAUGUUGAUUGCUUGAUGGAGAUUUUCAGUUCCUAAACUUUGUCUAGGUCACACCCCAAAAGGGAUGAGACUCCUGGGCCAUUAGCUCAGGUGGUUAGAGCGCACCCCUGAUAAGGGUGAGGUCCCUGGUUCAAGUCCAGGAUGGCCCAUUCGGUGUUGGGGGUUUAGCUCAGUUGGUAGAGCGCCUGCUUUGCAAGCAGGAUGUCAGGAGUUCGAGUCUCCUAACCUCCACUGACCGAACUUGAUUCCCAUCUCCAAUUUUUUUGGAGUUGAGCUCGAUUGGAGUGUGAUUUAGAAGUGUCCGCUGGAUGACCCCAGCUUCCUGUCAUUCCAAGUUUUAGGUUGAUGCCUUGAAUUUGGUUGAUAAGAUGCUGGGCUCGGAUCAAAUGAUCAAGCAAUUGAUGAUUUGAUUUGAAGUUCUAGCAGAACCUUGACAACUGCAUAGGUGAGUCUGGAAAAAACAAAGCAUCUUACAGAUGCAUUGUUUUGAAUCUGAUCUUCUGAAAGGGAGAUUGGAUCUAGAACAAUGAAAAUUCUUUUGAGCAAGAGCCGAGACUCUUGAACGUUCUUUGAUUGGUGUCGAGCCAAUCAGAGUUUGAUCUUGUUUUUAGCAAUAAAAACUUGAGAAUCUGCUUUCAACGGCGGUAAGCGUUCAGGAGGUUAAUU
rnacentral:tRNA from 1 species